rnacentral:rRNA from 1 species
GGACCCUACGGGAGGCAGCAGUGGGGAAUAUUGCACAAUGGGCGCAAGCCUGAUGCAGCCAUGCCGCGUGUGUGAAGAAGGCUUCGGGUUGUAAAGCACUUUCAGCGAGGAGGAAGGGUUCGGUGUUAAUAGCACCGUUCAUUGACGUUACUCGCAGAAGAAGCACCGCUC